rnacentral:misc_RNA from 1 species
UGCCUUCAAAACUAGUACCAA